CAAUAGCGUAUAUUAAAGUUGUUGCAGUUAAAAAGCUCGUAGUUGAAACUUGGGCCUGGCUGGCGGGUCCGCCUCACCGCGUGCACUCGUCCGGCCGGGCCUUCCUUCUGAAGAACCUCAUGCCCUUCACUGGGCGUGCUGGGGAAUCAGGACUUUUACUUUGAAAAAAUUAGAGUGUUCAAAGCAGGCCUUUGCUCGAAUACGUUAGCAUGGAAUAAUAAAAUAGGGCGUGCGUUUCUAUUUUGUUGGUUUCUAGAGACGCCGCAAUGAUUAACAGGAACAGUCGGGGGCAUCAGUAUUCAGUUGUCAGAGGUGAAAUUCUUGGAUUUACUGAAGACUAACUACUGCGAAAGCAUUUGCCAUGGAUGUUUUCAUUA
rnacentral:rRNA from 1 species